rnacentral:lncRNA from 1 species
AGUAGAGGAAUUCUGCUCAGAAGUGUUUGUGUCUCCACCAGCAAUAGAGAGCCCACCAUUAGUCACAGCAGAACCAACAACCCAAUCAUUAAAGAAGCUACAAUCAGCAGACAUGAGGUAUCUAGCAGCUGCUUCUCUUGGUUGAAUUACAGCAACGCAAUCAAAGCUCAAAAUUCCACAAGUAACACAUGAAAACAGUCGCUGAUCAGACAACUUGUCACCAUGAACAGCAAACCCAUUUUCAAUGCCUGUGUCCAUAGUAUGUGCCUUGUCAUUUCCAUUCAACGAGGAAAACCUAUUUCUUUCAGACAAAGGAGAAAACUUAUCUUUAACCGAGAAAAGGCCUUUUACUUGAUUAAUUCCAUUGUUCCUUUGUAGCAUGAUUUCAUCAGGAACAGAACUUUUUGAGGAUUGCAUGAUCCCCUUGCUUCUGCAUAACCCAAGUGAGGAGCUCAUUCUUAACUGAGAUCCAACGCGUAAAUUUGAACAAACUGAAAUGUCUGAAGAACUUCGAGGAAGAAUCACAAUAGAAGAUUCUUUUCCAAGAAUAUGAAGCAGAUCAUUAUUAUGAAGUGCAUUCUUUACAAAUUGUUCUUUAACCAGAGUUUCUCCUUCACCCCUUUGUUUAUCUUUUAGCCUAGAACUCCGAGGUUUAGCAUUGUUGUUAUCAGGUACUCUGCCAAAAAAAGAUUAAAAGAAAAAAAAGGAUGGCUUAUAAUUACAGCAGCUAAUUCUACAUGGACAACAUCAAAUACCCGUACCAUCAAAGCAGAGUUCACCAAGGAUCUAUUUUUCAGUUUAUGCAUAAAAAUACGGCUGAAAUGACAAGUUAGAAAGGGAGCACUGAUGACAAUAGUCUAUCCUAUCACAUGAAAGCAAAUUUCCCAUGAAUGUGAAAUGAAUUAGUUUUCCCAUGAAAAUCUUCCCAGAAGCAAUGUAAUUGACUACUUCAACCUCAAUUAAAAAUUAACAAACAUUAUCUUUUACGUUUCAAUUUUUCAGGAACUUCAAAAGUUUCAGUUUGAAUAAUCCAAUCUGAAAAGGCAGAAUCCCUGGGAAAGACUAUUAAGGAAGUUACUGAACAUAAUAACAUUGCUAGUUCAGCAGCCAAAAGGAAAGUUGCAAUUCUCAAUAAAGCAUACCUCGUACAUAGUUCUAGUGCAAGAUCAUAAAGUAACUGGAAAUGGGACACCAUUGGAGGAUAAUUAAUUGAAGCUCUUCGAAUAGCUGCCCUUUCAAAUAGGCCAACUACAUAAUGCAUGCAUAAGAAUAUCAACAUAAAAGAAAAAUGUGAUCUUUAAUGCAGCAUCUAGUUUUACAAAGGGAUGAGAAAGCACUAAAAAAUAGACAAGGGAAUUCAACCUGCCCAGACACCUCAUUCCUAACUUUCAAUAUCAAUUCUUAACCAGUGGGAUUCAAUAUUAGCACACUGCUUUUUAAGGGUUAAUAUCAGCCAAUUCAAUAAAAAUCCUACCAAAUACAUUCAUGUGGCAAAUCUAGUAAGCAUGGUUCAGCUAAAUAUGGUUAUUGUCAGAAUAUAAAUAGAAAACACUUGACUUUGAUCUAUAUGUGAUAUAAUAUUAUCAUGCAAUAAAGGCAAGACAACAUCAAAUGAAGACCAUUUAAAACAUACUAGUAGAGGAAUUCUGCUCAGAAGUGUUUGUGUCUCCACCAGCAAUAGAGAGCCCACCAUUAGUCACAGCAGAACCAACAACCCAAUCAUUAAAGAAGCUACAAUCAGCAGACAUGAGGUAUCUAGCAGCUGCUUCUCUUGGUUGAAUUACAGCAACGCAAUCAAAGCUCAAAAUUCCACAAGUAACACAUGAAAACAGUCGCUGAUCAGACAACUUGUCACCAUGAACAGCAAACCCAU